GCGGCACCCAGAGGCGGUCCUGUAGCCGGGCCGGCUUGGGGCUUGGUUCUAUGUCCCUGCGGGUCGGUGCAAGGGCGAAGAGGAACCCGUGGGCCUCAGGGGAUCCCGGGGGGCCGGACCAGUGUUCCCUAGUUGUGGGAGCAGACGCGUGGGCACAUUGCGGGCGGGCAGGGCCUGAAGUGCAGGUGCGGGCAGUGGACCCUGGCGGGGGCUGGGAGGACAGGCGUGGGGUCCCGGCAGUGAAACGGGUUCUAGAGGCGCAGGAGCAGGUAGGAGAGGC
rnacentral:lncRNA from 1 species